CUGCCCUCAGGCCUUGCCGCUUAGGCGGUGCAGGCUCUGGUUUUGGGGCGUGCGGUCCCCCGCAGCCCCCAAUUGCAUCGGCGUACGCCGUACGUUGCCCCCUGCGUAGUGGUUUACUUUCUCGCAUCGGGCCGUGCCGCAGUGCCGCCGGAAAACCCGUUAUGAUAAUAACGUUUCUGAA
rnacentral:misc_RNA from 1 species